UGUGUGUGUGUGUGUGUGUGUGUGUCUGUGUGGGCACGCACACACACACACACACACACACACACA
rnacentral:miRNA from 1 species